CAACUACUCACAAAUCAUUGUUUCAAGACAAAUCCAAGUGUAUAAAUGAAGAAAUAAUGUAAAUCUAAGUUAAGGAAUAGAAGAACCCAGAAAUAUACAGCAGAAUCUGCUGCAGAGAAGUGCAGAAAACGAGCUCCUGCUGCUGCUGCAGAAAUGGAACCCGUGCUCCCUCUUUCUCUAUUUCUUUUCUUGCCAAAAAUGCCUCCCUUGCUCUCUUAUGGAAAGAAAAUGAUAAAGGGGACUUUAUAUAGGUGAGGGCACUGCC
rnacentral:misc_RNA from 1 species